GGAUCCAGACUUUGAUUAUGGCUCAGAACGAACGCUGGCGGCAGGCCUAACACAUGCAAGUCGAGCGCGCCCUUCGGGGUGAGCGGCGGACGGGUUAGUAACGCGUGGGAACGUGCCCUUUGGUACGGAAUAGCCUCUGGAAACGGAGAGUAAUACCGUAUGAGCCCUUCGGGGGAAAGAUUUAUCGCCAAAGGAUCGGCCCGCGUUAGAUUAGGUAGUUGGUGGGGUAAUGGCCUACCAAGCCUACGAUCUAUAGCUGGUUUUAGAGGAUGAUCAGCAACACUGGGACUGAGACACGGCCCAGACUCCUACGGGAGGCAGCAGUGGGGAAUCUUGGACAAUGGGGGCAACCCUGAUCCAGCCAUGCCGCGUGAGUGAUGAAGGCCUUAGGGUCGUAAAGCUCUUUCGCCUGUGAAGAUAAUGACGGU
rnacentral:rRNA from 1 species